ACCUGGCGGCGGCGGGGCAGGGAGCGCCUUGAUUUUCUAGUCCUGCUGGGGGCUUGGGGCACUCUAGACACCGUCUAAAGGAGUCCAUCCCCAUCCUAAGUUGUCACCAGACUGAUGUCUGCUUGCCUAUUGUCUGUAACACCCUCGGUUCCCCAUUCCGCCCUGACGCAAGAGUCCAGGCAGGCAGGCCCGAGCCUCGCCUGCGGCUGAGUGGGCUCCCAGAUCCAGGGAUAUGCUUGAAUGCGGCCGUACUGGUUUGCAAAAGAGAAACCUGCUUUUCCUUAGUGAGAAAAUGGAGAAAAAUGGAAAGCCCUUUUUAUCCUACCAUUGAAGGGAGAGCCAUGGAUUCCAUUUAGAGAUAAGCCAGCCUGGAUUUGUCAAGCUUCAGCCCCCAAGUUGUGCCCGUCAUCCUACAGGCCGAGAAGAGGGUGAGAGCUGAAGAAACUUGCUUCACCAGAGAACCAUAAAAAACACAAAGGUCAGGACUAGUAUGAAUUAAGUGAGGCACUUGUCUUGGACCCAAAACUUAAGGAAAACUCCAUAAUCAAG